UACGUAGGUGACCAGCGUUGUCCGGAUUUACUGGGCGUAAAGAGCGCGCAGGCGGUCGUUCAAGUCGAGUGUGAAAGCCCCCGGCUCAACUGGGGAGGGUCACUCGAUACUGAUCGACUUGAAGGCAGGAGAGGGAAGCGGAAUUCCCGGUGUAGUGGUGAAAUGCGUAGAUAUCGGAAGGAACACCAGUGGCGAAGGCGGCCAUCUGGACGGUGACUGACGCUGAGACGCGAAAGCGUGGGGAGCAAACAGG
rnacentral:rRNA from 1 species